rnacentral:lncRNA from 1 species
AGUAUUAAGGAUAUUUUGGUUGGUUGGCAAGUCUUAGAAGAUUUAACACAAGGGCCUGUUCGCUGUGGAGCUGGUCCCCUCCUUGUGGCUUAUUUCAGCUCCUGUGUAGGUACAUUUUUGUUGUAAUUUAUUCCACCUGUGUCUGUCAAUUCCUUUCCCCUUGCCUCCUCCCGUGGCAGUGUGGCUCAUAUUUCUUCAUAAGCUCUAAGCCAGUUAUUAAUAACAGUCCAGUGACUUUGUGAUCCACGUGGAACAUAUGGUGUUUUCCACAAGACAGUGCUCAUUCCCUUGACUUUGGAUUUCACUCACAGAACCCGCGAAGGUCUCCAAUUGUGAUCUUUGAUGGUCAACAUUGCUCUGACAUAUAGAGACACUGAGAUUUUGCUGCUUUUAAUUCCUGUCUUCAUGUUAGGACAGUGCACCAGGAGUAUUCUGAGUAUGACUGGGAAAAGCUGGAUAUUAAUUUCUACCACCACUCCCCAAAGUCUGGAAGAUGAAAUUGUGGAAAGACUUCUAAAAGUCUUAUUUGUUUUAUUUGUAGACCUAAUGUCUAUGGUGUAUGUUGUUGUAACUUCUUAGAAAGCCUCUUUGCUUUCCAUGUACAUUUCAAAUUGAAUUCCAGUGAAUAAAAAUGUGUAUUUUAAUAUGUUGAGUGAUGUUAAUUUGCUUUUAUCUUUUUAUUUUAAAGAGAGUAGUAAAAGAAAGAAAGAAUAGCAGCUAACAUUGCAAACAUAAACAAAACAAAGCAAUAUAACCAACACUGCAAACAUAAACAAAACAAAGCAAGG